rnacentral:rRNA from 1 species
GCUUAGAGUUUGAUCCUGGCUCAGAUUGAACGCUGGCGGCAUGGCUAAAACAUGCAAGUCGUGGGAGAAGCCCUUCGGGGUGGACACCGGCGAAAGGGCGAGUAAUGGUAUCGAACGUACCCAGAGGUGGGGAAUAGCGUCGGGAAACUGGCGGUAAUGCCCCAUGUGCUCUACGGAGGAAAGCUACGGCGCCUCUGGAGCGGCGAUACUCCUAUCAGGUUGUUGGUGGGGUAAAGGCCUACCAAGCCGAAGACGGGUAGCGGGUGUGAGAGCAUGACCCGCCGCAUCGGGACUGAGACACUGCCCGGACUCCUACGGGAGGCUGCAGUAACGAAUCUUCCGCAAUGCACGCAAGUGUGACGGAGCAAUGCCGCGUGUGGGAUGAAGCAGCUUCGCUGUGUAAACCACUGUCAGGGUCUAGGAAGAACUGACCAGACCCAGAGGAAGGGCCGGCUAAACUCGUGCCAGCAGCCGCGGUAAUACGAGUGGCCCGAGCGUUAAUCGGAAUCACUGGGCUUAAAGCGUCCGCAGGCUGGCCUGUAGGCAUCUCGUGAAAUCCCACGGCUCAACCGUGGAACUGCGGGGUGAACCACAGGCCUUGAGGUAGGUAGGGGUCAUCGGAACGUACGGUGGAGCGGUGAAAUGCAUAGAUAUCGUACGGAACGCCGAAGGUGAAGACAGGUGACUGGGCCUAUUCUGACGCUCAUGGACGAAAGCGUGGGGAUCAAACAGGAUUAGAUACCCUGGUAGUCCACGCCGUAACGAUGCGCACUAGGUCGGUGGUCCUUCGACGGAUUGCCGGCCGCAGAGAAAUUAUUAAGUGCGCCGCCUGGGGAGUACGGUCGCAAGGCUAAAACUCAAAGGAAUUGAC